CCUGACCUCGGAUCAGACGUGAUUACCCGCUGAACUUAAGCAUAUCACUAAGCGGAGGAAAAGAAACUAACCAGGAUUCCCCCAGUAACGGCGAGUGAACGGGGAUUAGCCCAGCACCGAAGCCUGUGACCAUUUGGUUACUAGGCAAUGUGGUGUUUAGGUCAACUUAUGGCAUUAUUGCUCUACCCUAAUUCCAGCAAUGAUUACGGCUUACUGGAAUGGCCCAUAGAGGGUGAAAGGCCCGUAAGGGUAUAGGCCAAAUGGACAAUAAUGCCCUUAGUAGACCUUGGAGUCGGGUUGUUUGUGAAUGCAGCCCAAAAUGGGUGGUAAACUCCAUCUAAGGCUAAAUACUGACACGAGUCCGAUAGCGAACAAGUACCGUGAGGGAAAGUUGAAAAGUACUUUGAAGAGAGGGUAAACAGUGCGUGAAACCGCUUAAAGGUAAACGGGUGGAGUUGAACUGUAAGCCUUGGGAAUUCAACUGGUAAGUAUUACAUGAGCUUGGGCAUUAUUGGUCGACUUUUAAAGUCUGCUUAGUUGCGGGUCCUUGACCUUUAUUGGUUAAGGAUGUGCGAUGCACUAUUAAAGUGCUGUGCACUUUAAAAGUUGAAGGCCUGCUUGCCAGUGCACUUUCCCUUGGUGAUCACCACGACCGGCGCUGCUGUCUGUUUACUUUGAUCAAACCGAUUUUGUCUAACCUUUAUGAUUAGACCUAAUCGGGAUGGCAGGUAGCUCAUUGGUUAAUUGUUAGCUUUUGUUAACAAUUAUCUUUGGGUGUAAUUAGCUGGUCAUUGUAAAUCUGUGCAGUGCGCCGGAGAUGACGGCUAUGGUGUGUGCAUACGUG
rnacentral:rRNA from 1 species